UACGUAGGGUGCGAGCGUUAAUCGGAAUUACUGGGCGUAAAGCGUGCGCAGGCGGCUUUGCAAGACAGAUGUGAAAUCCCCGGGCUCAACCUGGGAACCGCACUUGUGACUGCAAGGCUGGAGUGCGGCAGAGGGGGAUGGAAUUCCGCGUGUAGCAGUGAAAUGCGUAGAUAUGCGGAGGAACACCGAUGGCGAAGGCGAUCCCCUGGGCGUGAACUGACGCUCAUGCACGAAAGCGUGGGGAGCAAACAGG
rnacentral:rRNA from 1 species